rnacentral:lncRNA from 1 species
AAGAUAAAAAUAUUUAAAGAUUUUUGGUGGAUGUCCCAUAUUUUUUGGAUUAAAAAUAAAAUUAAUAUGAAUAAAAUAAAAUAAAAAGAUUAACUGAAAAUUCAAAAACUAAAAAGAAAUUAGAAAAAACAAGGGCCAUCAGAUAUCCCUUAUUAAUUGAGGUGGCGGAUUUGCUGGCCCCGCGCGCGCUUAGGGGUGUUCGCGGUGCAGUUUGGGCGAUUUUGAUGAUAAAAAUCAUCCGAACCGCAAGAGAAAAAAACAUGCGGUUCAGUUUGGUUCGGUUGACUUUUAGAAAUAAAAUCAAACUAAACCAAACCAAAUGAGUGCAGUUUGGAUUGGUUCGGUUGGUUCGGUUUUUUUACAAUAUUUUUAUUUAGCCAUACAUACACCUAUAGAGAACAACAUAACUUUGUGUUUAGUCAUUCAUACAUUAGUAAAUAACAUCAAAAUUCAUCAUAUUUAGACAAAAACUUCUCAUUCAAUAUACAAAAAAUUAGAUUAGAAAAAAAGUGGAAUAAAAAACAUAUAUAAAAUAAUAGCAUAAAAUAGUAGCAUAAAAUAAUAUCAAAAACAUUAUAAUAAAACAUAAAAAAACAUAUGAGAAGAGAGAUUAGAGAAGAUGAAAAAAAACGUAAGAGAUGCAAGAUUGAGAAGAAAUGUGCGAUAAAAAUGGAAUUGAAAGAUAAAACAAUAAUAUAAAAGAUGAAAAAGAAAAAACAUAAGAGAUAACAUAUUAGAGUAGAA